GGCAACCCUGACGGAGCAACGCCGCGUGUGGGAGGACGGCCUUCGGGUUGUAAACCACUUUUCUCAGGGAAGAAGAACUGACGGUACCUGAGGAAUAAGCCUCGGCUAACUCCGUGCCAGCAGCCGCGGUAAUACGGAGGAGGCAAGCGUUAUCCGGAACUAUUGGGCGUAAAGCGUCCGCAGGGGGCUCAUCAAGUCUGCUGUCAAAGCUCGGAGCUCAACUCCGACCCGGCAGUGGAAACUGGGGAGCUAGAGGGCGGCAGGGGCAGAAGGAAUUCCCGGUGUAGCGGUGAAAUGCGUAGAUAUCGGGAAGAACACCAGAGGCGAAAGCGUUCUGCUGGGCCGCGCCUGACCCUGAGGGACGAAAGCCAGGGGAGCG
rnacentral:rRNA from 1 species